rnacentral:rRNA from 1 species
AUUGAACGCUGGCGGCAGGCUUAACACAUGCAAGUCGAGCGGGGGAGGUUGCUUCGGUAACUGACCUAGCGGCGGACGGGUGAGUAAUGCUUAGGAAUCUGCCUAUUAGUGGGGGACAACAUUCCGAAAGGGAUGCUAAUACCGCAUACGCCCUACGGGGGAAAGCAGGGGAUCUUCGGACCUUGCGCUAAUAUAUGAGCCUAAGUCGGAUGAGCUAGUUGGUGGGGUAAAGGCCUACCAAGGCGACGAUCUGUGGCGGGUCUGAGAGGAUGAUCCGCCACACUGGGACUGAGACACGGCCCAGACUCCUACGGGAGGCAGCAGUGGGGAAUAUUGGACAAUGGGCGGAAGCCUGAUCCAGCCAUGCCGCGUGUGUGAAGAAGGCCUUUUGGUUGUAAAGCACUUUAAGCGAGGAGGAGGCUCUUAAGGUUAAUACCCUUGAUGAGUGGACGUUACUCGCAGAAUAAGCACCGGCUAACUCUGUGCCAGCCGCCGCCGUAAGAC